GACAGCAGCAGCCACGGUAAUACGAAGGGUGCAAGCGUUAAUCGGAAUUACUGGGCGUAAAGCGUGCGUAGGCGGUUUGUUAAGUCUGCUGUGAAAUCCCCGGGCUCAACCUGGGAAUGGCAGUGGAUACUGGCAAGCUAGAGUGUGUCAGAGGAUGGUGGAAUUCCCGGUGUAGCGGUGAAAUGCGUAGAGAUCGGGAGGAACAUCAGUGGCGAAGGCGGCCAUCUGGGACAACACUGACGCUGAGGCACGAAAGCGUGGGGAGCAAACAGGAUUAGAUACCCCCGUAGUCCCUGUCUCUUAUAA
rnacentral:rRNA from 1 species